rnacentral:rRNA from 1 species
GACGAACGCUGGCGGCGUGCUUAACACAUGCAAGUCGAACGGAAAGGCCUGCUUUCCCUUGUGGAUUGCGGGUACUCGAGUGGCGAACGGGUGAGUAACACAUGAGUGAUCUGCCCCCAACUUGGGUAUAAGCCUGGGAAACUGGGUCUAAUUCCCGAUAGGACUGCAGGGUGGUGCCUGUGGUGGAAAACGAUUUUCUAGUGGUUGGGGAUGAGCUCGCGGCCUAUCAGCUUGUUGGUGGGGUAAUGGCCUACCAAGGCGGCGACGGGUAGCCGGCCUGAGAGGGUGGACGGCCACAUUGGGACUGAGAUACGGCCCAGACUCCUACGGGAGGCAGCAGUGGGGAAUAUUGCACAAUGGGCGGAGGCCUGAUGCAGCGACGCCGCGUGGGGGAUGACGGCCUUCGGGUUGUAAACUCCUUUCGACCGCGAGGAAGCCACCUGGUUGGAAGGGUGGUGACGGUAGUGGUAGAAGAAGCACCGGCUAACUACGUG